AAUAUUGGACAAUGGGGGGAACCCUGAUCCAGCCAUGCCGCGUGUGUGAAUAAGGUCNNNGGAUCNUCAAACUCUGUCCUUGGNGAANAUAAUGACGGUAGCCAAGGAGGAAGCCCCGGCUAACUACGUGCCAGCAGCCGCGGUAAUACGUAGGGGGCUAGCGUUGUCCGGAUUUACUGGGCGUAAAGGGUGAGUAGGCGGUUGCAUAUGUCAGAUGUAAAAGGCACAGGCUUAACUUGUGUUAGCAUUUGAAACUGUGCGACUUGAGUGCAGGAGAGGUAAGUGGAAUUCCUAGUGUAGCGGUGAAAUGCGUAGAUAUUAGGAGGAACACCAGUGGCGAAGGCGACUUACUGGACUGUAACUGACGCUGAGUCACGAAAGCGUGGGUAGCAAACAGG
rnacentral:rRNA from 1 species